AUGUUGUGUUUAAGGUCACACAAGGAAAGUGAUGGAGCCUGUAUGUUCACUGUGGACUCCGAAGCCACUGGGCUUUGUCAUGUUGCCCUCUGCUCCCACCGUCCCAUAAUAGAGAAAGUGACUGAGCCCUGGAAGUUACAUCAUUUAAAUAUCUUGAGAGUACAAGAGGUGGAAGCAAUUUCUCCCAGCUGGGUGGAGACAACAUCGCUAAUUCUUGAGAGAUGUGGAGACUGUGUUCCAGGAAGAGGGAAGACCUUGAGUGAGUCCCUGGAGGUGAGAGAACAGGGAGAGAGACUUCCCUGCUUCACCAAGAGAUACGGAGCAGCCAGUCAGUACUGACAAAGAGAACUCUCCAGCCACAGCAGCCCAAAUGGAGAAAGGUCACUUCAUC
rnacentral:lncRNA from 10 species